UACGUAGGGUGCAAGCGUUGUCCGGAAUUAUUGGGCGUAAAGAGCUCGUAGGCGGUCUGUCACGUCGGCUGUGAAAACCCGAGGCUCAACCUCGGGCCUGCAGUCGAUACGGGCAGACUAGAGUUCGGCAGGGGAGACUGGAAUUCCUGGUGUAGCGGUGAAAUGCGCAGAUAUCAGGAGGAACACCGGUGGCGAAGGCGGGUCUCUGGGCCGACACUGACGCUGGAGGAGCGAAAGCCGUUGGGGAGCAACAGG
rnacentral:rRNA from 1 species